rnacentral:rRNA from 1 species
UAUCAACGGCAUCACGAGGGUCCCACUGUCUCCCCCCUCCAAUCAGUGAAACUGAUCUCCCCGUGAAGAAGCGGGGAUAAGUAUAUUAGACGAGAAGACCCCAUGGAGCUUUAAACCCGACAGCACCCACUUAUUUAACACCUUCUUAUCCGCCUGGCCCCUGUCUGCUCGGUUUUGGGUUGGGGUGACCGCGGAGCAUAAAAUAGCCUCCACGAAAGAAGGGAUGAUUCCCUCAUUUUAGAACUACACUUCCAAAGACUAACAAAUUAAUUUUAAGUGAUCCGAUACCCGUAUUCGAUCAACGAACCAAGUUACCCUGGGGAUAACAGCGCAAUCUACCUCAAGAGCCCCUAUCGACAGGUGG